UUAUAAAUUAAAAAUUCGUCUUUAUAGAAUUUUAAUAAAAUAUCGAAAUUUUAAACCAAAAGUCCUUAUAUUCACGUAUCUCUAUUCUAAAAAAAGAGAAAGAAACCGAAUGCAUUUUAUUAUUAAAUUUGUUCAUGGAUUCAUAGAUUAUUCAUAGAUUGUGUAUAUAUUUAAAUCAACAUAUACAUAGCACCGAGUAAAAAAUUUCUAAGACAACACAUUGUUGCUACAUUCAUCGUUACACAUUCAUCACAUUAAUUUUAUUAUUAUAUCACCGCGACUCUGGCGGCAUUUUUUCCAAUAUACGCGUGUCCAUGACUGCUGACAUCGCCCUUAAAUAUCCAUACCCUUAUAAGCUAAUUCGUAAAUACUCUAUUUACUUCGUAAAUGCUAUCUAGUAUUCUGCUCUAAUGCACUCUUCGAGAUUCCAUCUAAAACACGACACGUUCGCGCUUCUCCCGCGAAACGAUCGCGACAUCGAGAAUCGUCACCAAGUUAGGUGACGUCGGUACGUUGCAUGUGCCUGACAUGUUGCCGGGAGGAAUCAUGAUAGGCGAUUCCCGCACGUAACAUCUCGCCGUGUCGAAACACGUCGUGUGACGCGGAGAAGGGUGGCAAGGUAGGUAACGACGGUAGUAAGCAGCUCAACAUGCUGGCACCGCUGUCCGAGGAGUAGAUCCCGUUGGUGGAUGGCACCAUGGACGCGUUGCAUGUUGCAGGAGUGGAUCCUGACAGCGGAUGUCCGUUUUGAUCGUUGGAACCUAACAGACUCGAACUCGGGCCUAUCAAGUUUCCUAUGGACAGUAAAGAGAUCUAGAUUUGUAAACAAAUUGUGUUUCCCCGCACAAUUCAUUCCUCUACCUUAAGUGACUUGAAAUGCGAUUCACCUGGAAGACUGACGCUCGACGCGGAACUGACGGACGAAGCGAUCGACAGAGGCGUCAUCAUGGAAAAGUCUGAAGCCUCGGAGGAUCUUGCAAGAUGCGAGUCUAUCCUAGCUGUUGGACGAACGCAGGCCAACGACGACAGACCGAGAUCGCUGGAUCUGUCCGUCCCGGGUCGCCGAUGCCUCGCAUGUAUAGUGGACUUGCCGCUAUUGCCCAGACCGAAGUGCAAAAGCUCCAAGUGUCUUCUGAGAUUCCUCGAUUGGCGUAGAAUCGCGCCGCAUAACGGACACGAUGCCGGCUGAUCGGACAGACUGCGCGUCUUCGAUCCGUCCCCUGAAAUGUCAAAUUCCUCCGUCAAAGGCUAAGUUAGACUUAAACACAUCUCGGAAGCAUUGCGAGUUUCGUCUCACCUCGACUCGGACAUCUCGGUGUCUCUGAUACAGGUAAAAUAAGAUGGGGCUAGCAAUGUGUAUGUGCGGCCGAAGUUGUGUUUUCGUGAAAAACAAUGCAACGUACAAUAUCACAUACUUUAUUUGCAAAAAAAAAAGAAACUAGAUAAUACAUUAUAUUAUACCCGUUAUCUUAUAUUUUCUCCUCUUUCAAAAUGCUAAUUGUUUUCGUAUAUGCACAUGCUAUUGUCAACGGUCCACGCGUACACAGCAAAGUCCGUUAUUACAAAAUAGGAAUGUGCACCUUGUGGCUGUUAUGGAAGAUCCUUGGUUUCAUUUUAAAAAAAUUAAAAAAAAAUUAUAUAUUCAUAAAUACAAUUAGUUAAUAAUAUAUUGCUAUUAGACCAUUCCAUGACAAAGGAAUUAAAGAGGCAGUAAAAAAUGAAUUGGACGAAUUCGAAUUGCACGAUAUUAUAAGAAAUCCCGAUUAUCGUAUAUAAGCCAUGUAGUAAAAGAAUAUAAGAAUCUUUCAUAUCUCA